GAUUCGGAUUCACCCCCAGCUUAUGUCUUCUGACCCCAUAACGUAGCUCUGCACCUUGUUUGGUUUCUCCCACAGUCUCCUCUCCCUUUCUGUCUCUUUUUACUCUCCCCCACCUCCACCCCCCACCCCUCUUCCUUUCUGUCCAUCCCAGGGUUUAUCCCCUCAUCACUGAUCUCCCUUCAUCCCUCCAAUCCUCAUCUGUUCCUCAUAGGAGCAGUAGAGAGAGUGUGUGACGGAGGAAUAUCCCACUGUGUGUGUGUUUGUGUGUGUGUGUGUGUGUGUGUGUGUGACACCAACAGUGAAUGAGCGGGAGAAAGUGUAUCACAGGGCGGCUGAACUUAUGACAACGAGCAGAGGGGAGACCGCUGGAGGAAAAGUGAUUUAAGAACUGCCAAAGCACCCGGAGGACUCUCCUUAUCGGAUCAUCAUCUUUCUCUCCCUGUCUCCACUGGUGACCUAACGACCAGCGCCAUGGGUGAAAUGGAGGAAUUGCGGAAGGAGAUGGAAAAUCUGAAAGACCAGAUCACUGCAGCUCGUAAGACGUUUCAGGACUCCACGCUGCAGGAGGCGGCGGCCGGCGUCACGGUGGUGGGCCGGGUCCAGCUGAAGACCCGGAAAACUCUGAGGGGUCACCUGGCCAAGAUCUACGCCAUGCACUGGGGCACCGAC